rnacentral:rRNA from 1 species
AGAGUUUGAUCCUGGCUCAGGACGAACGCUGGCGGCGUGCCUAACACAUGCAAGUCGAGCGAGGAAGAGGAGAUAGCUUGCUAACUCCUGUUUCUAGCGGCGGACGGGUGAGUAACGCGUGAGCAACCUGCCUUUAUCAGGGGGAUAACGCAUCGAAAGAUGUGCUAAUACCGCGUAAGACCACAGCCUCACAUGGGGCAGGGGUCAAAGGAGCAAUCCGGAUAAAGAUGGGCUCGCGUCCGAUUAGCUAGUUGGUGAGAUAACAGCCCACCAAGGCGACGAUCGGUAGCCGACCUGAGAGGGUGAUCGGCCACAUUGGAACUGAGAGACGGUCCAGACUCCUACGGGAGGCAGCAGUGGGGAAUAUUGGGCAAUGGGCGAAAGCCUGACCCAGCAACGCCGCGUGAGGGAAGAAGGGUUUCGGCUCGUAAACCUCUGUCCUAUGGGACGAAGGAAGUGACGGUACCAUAGGAGGAAGCCCCGGCUAACUACGUGCCAGCAGCCGCGGUAAUACGUAGGGGGCGAGCGUUAUCCGGAUUCAUUGGGCGUAAAGCGCGCGUAGGCGGCCCGGCAGGCCGGGGGUCGAAGCGGGGGGCUCAACCCCCCGAAGCCCCCGGAACCUCCGCGGCUUGGGUCCGGUAGGGGAGGGUGGAACACCCGGUGUAGCGGUGGAAUGCGCAGAUAUCGGGUGGAACACCGGUGGCGAAGGCGGCCCUCUGGGCCGAGACCGACGCUGAGGCGCGAAAGCUGGGGGAGCGAACAGGAUUAGAUACCCUGGUAGUCCCAGCCGUAAACGAUGGACGCUAGGUGUGGGGGGACGAUCCCCCCGUGCCGCAGCCAACGCAUUAAGCGUCCCGCCUGGGGAGUACGGCCGCAAGGCUAAAACUCAAAGGAAUUGACGGGGGCCCGCACAAGCAGCGGAGCAUGUGGCUUAAUUCGAAGCAACGCGAAGAACCUUACCAGGGCUUGACAUAUGGGUGAAGCGGGGGAGACCCCGUGGCCGAGAGGAGCCCAUACAGGUGGUGCAUGGCUGUCGUCAGCUCGUGUCGUGAGAUGUUGGGUUAAGUCCCGCAACGA